AUGGCUCGCCUGCUCGCGCAAAGCCUAGCCCGCCCCUCUCCGGCCACCGCCUCCCUCCUCCCGCUGCGCGGGCUCUCCACCAAGGUCGAGCUCAUCGAGAUCGACCUCGCCGAGGAGGACCCGUCUUCGGUCGAGGUCGUGGGGAUCCGGCGCAUGGAGGAGGCCAUCCACGGCGUGAUGGUGCGGCGGGCCACGCCCGAGUGGCUCCCCUUCGUGCCGGGCGGGUCCUUCUGGGUGCCCCCUGUGCGUCGCCCCCGCGGGGUCGCCGAGCUCGUCGGCCGGAUCGCGGCGUCCGGGGUCGGCGAGGUGUCGUACGAGGCGGACCCCUACGUCCCCAUGACGGAGGAGGAGGUGCUCUCCCUUUCGACCGCCCGGGGGUGGCCGUCGGCGGCCUACUUCGUCGAAGGUGAGCGGGACGAGUGA
rnacentral:rRNA from 1 species